rnacentral:lncRNA from 1 species
UAAUAAUAAAAUAAGAAUCGGGAAAGGGAAAAGAAAUACCUAGGGGAGGGUGGGGAAUAGAUAACGAGGGAUUUGGGGUAAACCUAAAACUAAAAGAAGGGAAAGGGAAUGAUGAUUUUUGUAAAACAAACAACAACAAAGGGAAUGAAACUGGUUGUUUCCCUUUCCCUUUGUUAACUACCCCCAACCAAACGGCCCCU